AAGACACUAGUAAAGUCGAUUAUUACAUUGCCUUGUCAAGGCAAAAUUGCGGGUUAAAACCCCGCGUGUCUUA
ensembl:Mt_tRNA tRNA-Asp